GAACGCUUCUUUCCUCCCGAGUGCUUGCACUCAAUUGGAAAGAGGAGUGGCGGACGGGUGAGUAACACGUGGGUAACCUACCCAUCAGAGGGGGAUAACACUUGGAAACAGGUGCUAAUACCGCAUAACAGUUUAUGUCGCAUGGCAUAAGAGUGAAAGGCGCUUUCGGGUGUCGCUGAUGGAUGGACCCGCGGUGCAUUAGCUAGUUGGUGAGGUAACGGCUCACCAAGGCCACGAUGCACAGCCGACCUGAGGGGGUGAUCGGCCACACUGGGACUGAGACACGGCCCAGACUCCUACGGGAGGCAGCAGUAGGGAAUCUUCGGCAAAGGACGAAAGUCUGACCGAGCAACGCCGCGUGAGUGAAGAAGGUUUUCGGAUCGUAAAACUCUGUUGUUAGAGAAGAACAAGGACGUUAGUAACUGAACGUCCCCUGACGGUAUCUAACCAGAAAGCCACGGCUAACUACGUGCCAGCAGCCGCGGUAAUACGUAGGUGGCAAGCGUUGUCCGGAUUUAUUUGGGCGUAAAGCGAGCGCAGGCGGUUUCUUAAGUCUGAUGUGAAAGCCCCCGGCUCAACCGGGGAGGGUCAUUGGAAACUGGGAGACUUGAGUGCAGAAGAGGAGAGUGGAAUUCCGUGUGUAGCGGUGAAAUGCGUAGAUAUAUGGAGGAACACCAGUGGCGAAGGCGGCUCUCUGGUCUGUAACUGACGCUGAGGCUCGAAAGCGUGGGGAGCAAACAGGAUUAGAUAUCACUGGUAGUCCACGCCGUAAACGAUGAGUGCUAAGUGUUGGAGGGUUACCGCCCUUCAG
rnacentral:rRNA from 1 species